rnacentral:rRNA from 1 species
UACAGAGGGGGUAAGCGUUAUUCGGAAUUAUUGGGCGUAAAGGGCGCGUAGGCGGCUUGGCAAGUGGAAGGUGAAAUCCCUCGGCUUAACCGAGGAACUGCCCUCCAAACUGCUUUGCUUGAGACCAGGAGAGGUGAGUGGAAUUCCCAGUGUAGCGGUGAAAUGCGUAGAUAUUGGGAGGAACACCGGUGGCGAAGGCGGCCUCUGGACGGUGACUGACGCUGAGGCGCGAAAGCGUGGGGAGCAAACGGGG